GCAACAAGUUCAACAAUGCCAAGGGAAGAAAAAACCUGGUGUGGUGUCAGUGGUGCUUGAGCAGGCCACACAGAGCUGAACCUACACAGCUACGUUAGUGCUAUAUUGGAUCGGCUCUUCCCUUCCUGCUUGACCAGAUAUAGGGUGCAGUUAUUGCCUGACUUGGGAUAGGACUGAACUAUAGAAGAGCUGCUUCAAGAGGACAUGAC
rnacentral:lncRNA from 1 species